rnacentral:rRNA from 1 species
CCAGCCCACCACGGCACGUUGUGAGGUCACCCACAGACUUAGCUUUCGAUUGUGAUCCUUGACGCCGAGCAAGCAGCCCAAUGCGUGUCGCUAAGUUCCUAACCAGGCUUUUUCCAAGAAGCCAGGAGUGUGGAACGACACGCGCUCAACAGUCAGGAUCGGGCGGAUACAAAGUACUGGUACGAUCCUCUUGCGACGAGCCGGCUUCUGGCCAAAAUUCCAGCGGGCAGGCCUUCCGCAUGUGCCGCGGGAGGUCGAGUCAAGACGGUAUGGACAAUGCAAGUCCUCUGAGUCGAACGCUGGAAAGAGUGGUGUAAAGUCCAAGCCCAUCGGUCACGUCUCGAAACACGGGCCAAGGAGUAUAGCAUGUGUGCAAGUCUAAGGGUCUCACAAAAUCCGAAGGCAAAGUGAAAGCAAGUAAGCGGCGGGUGAUCUACGGAGAGAUCCCGUCAGCUAGAGGCUUCUUCCUCCGGGAAUGGUCUCCGGCUUUGGCAGAGUUGAUCCUGCAGCGGUACCGCAGACGUACGCUCAGGCGCAAACUCCAGGCUCACGUUUCGCACUGGUUCUUGAACUGUGCUGUGAGCACUGUGGAGCAUGCAUGCUAUGACCCGAAAGAUAGUGAACUAUGCCUGGCGAGGGCGAAGCCCCAGGAAACUGGGGUGGAGGCCCGUAGCCGUUGUGACGUGCAAAUCCA